rnacentral:rRNA from 1 species
CCUACGGGUGGCUGCAGUGGGGAAUUUUGGACAAUGGGGGCAACCCUGAUCCAGCCAUUCCGCGUGAGUGAUGAAGGCCUUCGGGUUGUAAAGCUCUUUUGUCCGGAGCGAAACGGGCGGCCCUAAUACGGUCGUCUACUGACGGUACCGGAAGAAUAAGCACCGGCUAACUACGUGCCAGCAGCCGCGGUAAUACGUAGGGUGCGAGCGUUAAUCGGAGUUACUGGGGGCAAAGCGUGCGCCGGGAUGUGAAAUCCCCGGGCUCAACCUGGGAAGGGCAGUUGGGACUGCAAGGCUGGAGUGUGGCAGAGGGGACUAGAAUUCCGGGUGUAGCAGUGAAAUGCGUAGAUAUCAGGAGGAAUACCGAUGGCGAAGGCAGGUCCCUGGGUUAACACUGACGCUCAUGCACGAAAGCGUGGGGAGCAAACAGGAUUAGAUACCCCAGUAGUC